GGAUGAUAUUGAUGAUGAAAUGUCUUACGAUGAUCAUUUAGAGGUUUAUUUUGAACAACUGGCAAUUCCAGGAAUGAUGGAAUAAAGCAUACGAAGUAGAAGGACUGGAACCUCCAGAAAAAGUACUUUAAGUUACCUACAGGUGAUCCUAGUCAGGCAAAUGAAAACAGUAGCCUAAAGUGUCAGUUUCAACCAGAAAAUAACAGCUCUGAUUUCUCAUGGCUCAUACUCGUCUGAAACGACUCAGGUAGAGGCUGAGGAAGGCCGUGUUGUUUGUCUACCUGGGACUACACCUACUGAAAGAAGUUCUCAAGUUCUGAUUGAGUUCUAAAAUUUUUUGAAGAUUGGAAUUCUUCAUAUGUAAAAAGAGAAGAGAAAGACAUUCUUGAUUUUGGUGACUAGAGUUGUAGAUGCUGGAAGCUUUGCCACUAACAUUGAUGAACCAGAUGCAUGUCACCAGCCCAUCACGGUGAUUCUUAAUGCCGGCACCAUGGGCCCGGCACUGCCACGUUUUCCAAGGAACCUGCCGGAGCUCCUGCGGAAGCUGCUCCUCAGGCGAUGGAGUCCCUUCGCUGGUAGGCCCUUCUUCAGUCACCACAGGAUGCCUGCCAUUCAUGAACAAGAAGGAGAGGACGGGCUUUGAAUAAAAAACAGGGAAAAGAACUGAAGAACAGUUUGUUGACUGAGGAGCUGAAGUAUUAAGUACAGAGACACAUAUAUAUUUAAAGACCCUGUGGAAAAAAGUUAAUGAACAAAAAAGAAUUGGAAGAAGUUGUUCUAACACCUCCAGUACUAUACUGAAUUGAAGUGGCGAGAGGGCAUCCUUGUCUUGUUCUGGAUCUUCUUUCUCCGUUGAUGAUGAUGCUAGCUGUGGCUCUGUCAUAUGUGGCUUUAUAUUGUGUAGUUGCACAUUCUUUAUAGACCUAAUUUGUUGAUAGUUUUCAUCACUAAUAGAUGUUGAAUCUGUCAAAUGCUUUUUUCUGCAUAUAUUUAAUGCUCAUGGAGUCAUAUGGUUUGGAACUCUGUCUCUGCCCAAAUCUCAUGUUCAACUAUAAUCCCCAGUGUUGGAGAUGGGGCCUCUUGGGAGGCGAUUGGGUCAUGGGGGCAGUUUCUCAUGGUUUAACACCAUCCCCCUUGGUGUUUCCAUGGCAAUAGCAAGUUAUCAUGAGAUCAUGUUUAAAAGUGUGUAGUGCCUACCCCCACUCCUCCUGCUCCAGCCAUGUGAUGUGCCAGUUUCCCCUUUGCCUUCC
rnacentral:lncRNA from 1 species